rnacentral:misc_RNA from 1 species
CGCACAUUGCGCCCUCUGGUAUUCCGGAGGGCAUGCCUGUUCGAGCGUCAUUUCAACCCUCAAGCCUGGCUUGGUGAUGGGGCACUGCCUUUGAGACACAGGGCAGGCCCUUAAAUUCAGUGGCGAGCUCUCCGAGACCCCGAGCGCAGUAGUUAAACCCUCGCUCUGGAAGGUCCUGGUGUGGCCCUGCCGUUAAACCCCCAACUCUGAAAAUUUGACCUCGGAUCAGGUAGGAAUACCCGCUGAACUUAA